ensembl:lncRNA
AUGGCCAGCGCUUUGCAGUAUUGCUUUCUGAUCCUGAUUUUUGGCAUUCCAAUGCACGAAUGUGCGGCGGUACUCCUAAAUGGCAGCUGUUUACCUGUGGAACCCUGUUUUGACCUGAGUGUGAUGGCUAAUAUAGCCGAGCGUGUCAGCAAAGACGUGAUAGCUGCGGAUGGUGAGAAGAUCCUCCUGAAGCACAGCUCCUUUGACAAAAUUCGGAAAAAGAAAAAUCUUCACAGCUGCGUCCUGCUGAAGAUCAUUCAUCUAUUUGAAAAUGUUCUUGAAAAGACAAAGAAGAACGACGUCCAUAACACGGAAGAAUUUAACCAUCAUCUUGAGCUUAUACACAUCAUGGAUCAACUCAGAAACUGUGUGUAUAAGACAAAAAAUAAAUGUAAAACCCUAUACGAGAUGUCUGACAUAACCACAACUUCCUCCCCAAUGAUUUCGGAGAAAAACAUGAACCCAAAUCAGCUUGCUGUCUUACAGCUACAAAAACUGAAGUCUGCCAGUAAGAGGGUCAAUGAUGUGCAUAUCCAGGAAGGGGUUAUGGAUGAGCUGAAAACCCUCCAUCUCUACAUGCAGGGUAAAGGCUUCCGGAAAAAUACACAAGUGAUUAAGGAGACGCAUGGCAUUUCAUGA